CAGAAACUGAUGAAUGGAGGGGGAGGACGGGAAGGAGGGGUCGGAGCUGACAGUCAGACAGUGAUCAGUUCAGGUGUGACAGCAGCUCCCUCUACAGAUCAGAACAGCGGUUCCAGUCUGGACUCACUCGCAGAUCCUGCUUAUCACUCUGACAUCAGCAACGACCAAUCAGGACCAGACCACAGCUCUCUGAGCUCAGGUCUUGACCAAUCCCUCUCGAGCUCUGUUUUAGGCUCCUCCCACUCUGCAGUAGAUACAGCCAAUGCAUCGUCUUCAUCACACAGUGAAG
rnacentral:lncRNA from 1 species